GCGAAACCCUGACGGAGCAANACCGCGUGAGGGAUGACGGCCUAUGGGUUGUAANCCUCUUUUUUCAGGGAGGAAUCAAUGACGUGUACCUGAAGAAUAAGCAUCGGCUAACUCCGUGCCAGCAGCCGCGGUAAGACGGAGGAUGCAAGUGUUAUCCGGAAUCACUGGGCGUAAAGCGUCUGUAGGUGGUUUAAUAAGUCAACUGUUAAAUCUUGAGGCUCAACCUCAAAAUCGCAGUCGAAACUAUUAGACUAGAGUAUAGUAGGGGUAAAGGGAAUUUCCAGUGGAGCGGUGAAAUGCGUAGAUAUUGGAAGGAACACCGAUGGC
rnacentral:rRNA from 1 species